UGCAGUCGACGGCAGCACAGGAGCUUGCUCUUUGGGUGGCGAGUGGCGGACGGGUGAGUAAUGUCUGGGAAACUGCCCGAUGGAGGGGGAUAACUACUGGAAACGGUAGCUAAUACCGCAUAACGUCGCCAGACCAAAGUGGGGGACCUUCGGGCCUCAUACCAUCGGAUGUGCCCAGAUGGGAUUAACUAGUAGGUGGGGUAAUGGCUCAACUAGGCGACGAUCCCUAGCUGGUCUGAGAGGAUGACCAGCCACACUGGAACUGAGACACGGUCCAGACUCCUACGGGAGGCAGCAGUGGGGAAUAUUGCACAAUGGGCGCAAGCCUGAUGCAUCCAUGCCGCGUGUAUGAAGAAGGCCUUCGGGUUGUAAAGUACUUUC
rnacentral:rRNA from 1 species